rnacentral:tRNA from 1 species
GCUGGCGUAGCUUAAUUAAAG